rnacentral:lncRNA from 1 species
AACUAAAGGAAUGUCUCUAAGCAGCCAAGGCCAAGAGCAAGCAGGAGUUGUCCUAUCUGCCUAGAAAGAUUCGAUAAAGAAAAUGUGAGUGGGCGGGAAAUCAAUAGACACAGAAAGAGAAGAGCAAAAGGAGCAGAAGGCACUCCGUUUUUUAUGUGAAAUCAAGGAGCAGCAGGUUAGACUUUGACACUUUCCCGAAGAGAGCUCAAAGCAAUAAGAUGAAAGAUGGGAUGAGAUGCUAGCCUUAGCGCAGAAGAUAAAUCAUUGAACCUUAGGUCACUACCGAGCAGCAAUGUAGGAUCAUAAUUGCCUGUACUGCCGAGAU